rnacentral:lncRNA from 1 species
UUUUUCUUUUUCUAUUUUCUAUUUUAUUUUCUGUUUGCACUUUCUUUUAACAACAAAUCACUUUUGUAAAAUGUGUGGCUGGUCUCAAUAGUUACUAUGCAAUAUACCUCACUCCCACAGAAAGUUUGGGAGAGAUUUGAAGUUGUUUGUAUUUUGAUUAAAGGAAAAUGACUUGAAUGGGGCUGUUUUGGGUACUGUUUUCAUAUCAAGGGGCAUCUUAAACCUUUAUAAAAAUGUUUUUUAAUGCAUGAAAAUUAUCUAAUGAAUAUUUUCAGCCUAAUGAACAUUUUUGUUGGACAGUUUAAAGAAUUUAUAAUUUUACUUGCGAUUUAAAUAUGAAUUUGACUUUGAUUUCUAUCAAGUGGCAAAUUGGCUUAAUAAAACAUGAUGACAUGGCACAUUAGGGUGAGGUUACUGUAGCAUGACACUGGGGGUGUUACAAAUCUCCUCCACUACAAGAAAUCUCGUCCCGAGAUUUAAGAGGGGAAGUGAGGGGGAAGAGAUUUGGUUACAAAAUUCUAACGAGUGUUCUCGAUCUUGGUUGCUCUUCUCGAAAAAGUUAAUCCCUUUUGUUGACGUCUUCAUUUCUCUGCAUUAAUGCUUCAUGAUGACCAUGCCGUCCUCCCUUCAGAAUUUUCACCAUACUUACGACAAGGAAAAGGGGUAGCUUCAGAAGAACGGACCUCUACACGAUUGCUUAUCUGUUAGGUAACUUAGGGAAGGAGGUAGAAUGUAUCUCUCGAACUGAAACUAAAGAAAAUAUCGAGAGCAAGGUAAGAAGGUGCCAUGAGAAGCUUCAAGCGGGCAGACGGUCGUUCAAGGUCUAAUCAGAAGGUGAAAGGGUUUCAGAGCAACGAAAAUAAAUAUUGCGUCUGAUACCAGAGUAAAUCAUCUCUAGGAAGGUGGCUCGUGAUUUACAUACGAAGCCAAGCGUGAGGAAUAAUUUUGGAAAUAGGGGUGUACAGGAAAGUCAAGUUUUGAUCUUGUGGAACUGUGGGUUAUGGGCCCACCAUGUGGGUUAACAAGUAGGAAGGGCGAUGUCAUCUUGCACGAUCAUGAUAGCAAGGCAUGUCGGAGAAUAGACUGUCAGUUAUGUUGGCAACAAUCAUUGGUACCAAGUGCGAGGGAGGAAGAGAACCAUUCUCCUACUCAUUGAACGAGGCAGAGCAAUAGGCAAAGUUCUCAUCCAUCGGUGGUUACCGGAAUGUCAUCAACAAUAGUAAGAGGGUCUUACUGACAGAGUGGUACAACAAGGUGCUUACCUAAGCAGGGAAUUAUCACUGCUCAGUUAAGUAGAUUACAAGAAGGGUUAAACAAACCAAUGUAAAGUCAAAUGUGAUUAUUGGAUUAAACAGAUAAUGGAAAGUAAAAUGUGUUUAAACACAUAAUUCAGGGGUAUAUCCUUCACAAGUUCAAGUAGAGCAUGAUAUCCAUGACAGGAUAUAAUGUAGACAACUCUUUAGGUACGGGGAGAGAAAUUUCCUGACAUUACCCAUACAAUGGUGUUUGGAUAAUUGAGCAGGAAACAUUUAGCAUUGGGCUUCAAAUGUUCUUGUUGAAAAUUGGAGUACCACUGACAUGCUUUGAGAUAGCAUUGACAUGGUCUUCAAGCAAAGGUCAGACCCUGGAUACACGAAGGAUUCAUCAGGAACGACUUGUAGAAUAAGUCUUACAAUUUCUUUAUGGAAGAAUGGUUAUCCCUACUAAAAGGAUACCAUAGCAAUAGGUCCUCCGGCCAGGUGUGCUAGGCUUGAUAUCACCUUACUGGGUUAUGUAAAGACCAAUGCUAUGACUCUUGGAAAAUGUUCCAACCAUCAUAUCUGACCGAGAUUCAGAUCUGUUUGGUGUCUGGAUACCUCAGACUCAGGAUGCCUGAGAAGAAAAAGGUGCAACACAACAUGACAGGAUGACACUGUAAGAUUCUCGAGAAAUGAAUUGUGGAAGCAAGUUCCGAAACAAGAGUUCAUCAUUAAAAGCAAGGAGAGGAGGAAGAGGUGGCUGAUGGGCUUAGCGAAAAUUCAUCGAGAUUUCCAAAAAGACGGAUUCCCACAACUAUGAGAACAAGGACAUAUCAUUUGUCAGAUCAAAUGAUAUAUUGAUGUAUGCUCGAGGAAAACAUACACAAUUAAACAUUGGUUGAUAGGUGCACCCGAAAUAUGGGCUGGGUUGCAUGAUCAAUGUUAGAAUGGUGACUCGAUAACGAAACUAUCGGCCAUUCACUUUGAAACAAUAAGGUUGCUAGAGAUAUUAAAUUCUCACAACAGAGUUCACUCAACACGGGGGGGGGCAAGAAAGAAUGGUGAUGGCGAGAAGCAUCACUGCAUCAAGAAUUUCUUAAGAGGUGGUGAAAUUCUCACGACAUUCCUGACAUAAAAGAUGGUAAUACUCCAAGGUAAAGAAUAACAAAUGCUUGUUAACAAGGAACUCAAGGUACUACAUGAAACAUGAACAAGUUUGUGUUGGAGGGAGGGCAAUAAAGUAGAUGAUGAUAACACAAAUCAUUGAGGGGCAAGGAUGAUAUUUCUUAUCAAGAAUUCGAUAGAUAGCUCGAAAGAACCCAGAAUGUUGAUGAUGAUCACGACACCAUUGCCGAGAGAUUUCACGAAGAUGUAAUCGAUCAGGGAUGUCAUCGAGUCAAAGGAAUGAUGAAGCCAAAGGUUAUUGGAACCAUAGAUACGACACAAACUCGAAAUCAAGCUUGUUGUUUGAGGUGAAACAAUAAGACCAGGAAGAUCGACGUAAGCUUAGCUCAUCAUCGAAAGUUGUGCUCUGGAAUAAGGACCAGGUAGCACAGUUAAAUUUUAGCACAAUAACGAUAUAGCCGAUCAGGCUAGGAAUGACUUGAAAGAUUAUUAAACUCAUAAGCAACAAAGAUUACUUAGAGUCACCGAACCGGAGUGCGGAAUCGAUUCACUUAUCGGUGUCCUCAGUUGACGACAACCCAGAACCCAAGAAAUUUGGAAUCGGUGAGAAAUAAUAGUUGAUGAAGCACCCAUAAGAAGUUAAGCUGUUCUAUGAUAUUCUUGAGAUACCAAAGCGUAAUACACGAUGGUAGAUCAAAGUAAAGGUUGGACGAGUGCAAUGAUUAGUAGAAGACAAGUACUUCAAGUUGUCCGAGAAAUGGUAUUUAAAAGAGAACAUGGUCGGAACCAUGAUUGCAAAGGAUCAAUUCACAGAUACCAAAUGAUAAUAUAUCAAGGGAAUAGUUAUUAUUUCAAGAAGCUUCCGUGAUAGGAUAUACAUCGUGUCCAUGGGCAUGAACACAAAGUUCAAGGUCGACUCCCACUUGUUCAAUGCAUAAUCUUUCAUUCACUUCUCGUAUUUUGAAAAUGACAUUAGUGGUUGAAAGCUUUUUCCUGGUGCCAUACCAAAUAAGUAUGACCCGUGAAAUCUUUCGGGUUCACACAGAUUUAAAGAAGGCAUAGGUUCAACCCAUCUGGGCCUCUUAGGAACAUAUACCACAAGCUUCAAUAAUAAAUACCACCAGCUCGAAAACAGAGCAUGGUUGAGAAAGCAGAGGAUACAAUUUACCAAAGGCUUUAUAUAGUCGUGGAAAGGCUCACAAGGUUACUUGAAUAUGAAGGACACUGUCGGAUAAUAAUCCAACACGAGGUCUGGUGGUCUACAACGGAGCUGAUUUGAGUAUCGGUACUCUAUCAAAGGAAGAAGGAAUGCAUGUGCAUUGGAUUAUAGAAACAACUGACUAACUCAAAGCUCAAAUGCAAAGGAAUUAUGAAUUCCAAGACAAAGGGAUCAGAAGCAAUGCUCUGAUUAGGGAUGGAUAAUUUGACUCGCCUUAGGGGUACAAUCGAUGGCAAUUUCAUUGGUCGAGAUCCAGCUCAUGUUUAAAAUGACGUCUGAGCCGAAGAACGAAAGGAAGGAUCUGAUUAAGGAAUGCGAGCAUUCGCAACAUAUUGAUUCAACAGACUCAAACUGAUAAUGAAUAAGGAUGCCAAUAAGAUUACCGGACUUAUGAGGUUAAUCAUAAUGCAAGCAAGCAAGAAUUUCAAGAGCAAUAGGCUGUUGAGGAUUUUCGGGGAUCAAAUGGUAUUUCGAAGACUUUUGUGAAAUACAUGAAUCAACUGGGGAUGAGCGGGUACUCGAUAAGUGCGAGAAAUUAUCCGUAAGGGUAUGUGUGUGGCAAAGAGCUGCAAAGCGGUGGGCACAAAGGAUUCUCGAAUCAUCGAAGAAAUUUUCAGGGUAUCAAGUAAUAACAGGGGCAACUAGGAACAAAGGUAAGAACAACAAGCUUAAUCAAUUAUCCAUAAGGAUUUAUCAGUGGUCGGGAAUAGCAAAAGUGGUGGGCACAAGGUCUCGAGAGAAUAAUGGAGAGUAUCUUCGGAAUCUUCUGGUGAAGCAGGCCAUCAUCUGGAAUGAAGGGGCUCUUCGGGAGAAAGUAUUUACAAGAACCUAGAGUUAGAGUUAGCAAAAUCAUUUAACCCGAAUAGAAGAGAGAUCAGAGUCCCAUAGUAUAGACGAGGAGUAAAAGAUCCUAAUACCACCCAAAUGGCGAUGUGGACCCGUAAGACACACAACCAUUGUUAGUAAAAAGUUUUGUAAUGUCUAGUCUCGACUUCGGCCAAGAAGUGUGGAAGGGGGAUUCCUACAGGCAGUCUGCUCUGAUACCAACUUGUGACACCCCCGAUUUGACCGUACAUUAAUCAUACACGCAAACGUGUAUGAUCAAGGUCAGGGACUCACGGGAUGAUAUCACAACACAACUCUACAAAUAAAAUAAGUCAUACAAGCAUCAUAUUACUAGCCAGGGGCCUCGAAGGCUCGAAUACAAGAGCUCGAUCAUAGACAAGUCAGCGGAAGCAACAAUAUCUGAGUACAGACAUAAGUUAAACAAUUUUUCCUUAAGAAGGCUAGCACAAACUGGGAUACAGAUUGAAAGAGGUGCAGGACUCCUGCCUGGGAUCCUCCUAAACUACUCCUGGUCGUUGUCAGCGGGCUGCACGUAGUAGUAGGCACCUCCCAAGUAGUAGUAGUAGUCAUCAUCGAUAGUGGCGUCUGGCUCCUGGGCUCCAACGUCUGGUCGCAGCAAUCGAGUGUAGAAAAGGGGGAAAAGGGGGGAGCAAAGCAACCGUGAGUACUCAUCCAAAGUACUCGCAAGCAAGGAGUUACACUACAUAUGUAUGCAUUGGUAUCAAAUGGAAUAAGGGUAUCAUAUGUGGACUGAACUGCAGAAUGCCAGAAUAAGAGGGGGAUAGCUAGUCCUAUCAAAGACUACGCUUCUGGCCACCUCCAUCUUGCAGCAUGUAGAAGAGAACGAAAGGUAAGUUCACCAAGUAGCAUCGCAUAGCAUAAUCCUAACCGAUGAUCCUCCCCUCGUCGCCCUGUGAGAGAGUGAUCACCGGUUGUAUCUGGCACUUGGAAGGAUAUGUUUUAUUAAGUAUCCGGUUCUAGUUGUCAUAAGGUCAAGGUACAACUCCAAGUCGUCAUCUUAGCGAAGAUCACGACUAUUCGAAUAGAUUAACUUCCCUGCAGGGGUGCACCACAUUUCCCAACAUGCUCGAUCCCCUUUGUCCGGACACACUUUCCUGGGUCAUGCCCGGCCUCGGAAGAUCAACACGUUGCAGCCCUACCUAGGCACAACAGAGAGGUCAGCACGUCGGUCUAAAUCCUAUGCGCGCAGGGGUCUGGGCCCAUCGCCCGUUGCACACCUGCACGUUGCGAACGCGGUCGGCGAGUAGACCUAGCAACCUCCAUUACAAACGAAGUUGUGUUACGCGGUCCAACCCGGCGCGCGCCGCUCAGUCGCUGAUGUCAAUAAGGCUUCGGCUGAUACCACGACGUCGAGUGCCCAUAAAUGUUCCCGCAUAGUUGGUUAGUGCGUAUAGGCCAGUAGCCAGACUCAUAUCAAAUACCAAGAUCUCGUUAAGCAUGUUAUUUCGAAAUAACCACGGACGCCGACCAGGGCCAGACCCACCUCUCUCCUAGGUGGUCUCAACCUGCCCUGUCGCUCCGCCUCAAAGUAACAAUCGGGGGCCGUCGGGAACUCAGGCCCACCACUACCUGGAUGGAGCCACCUGCCCCUUCAGCCCCCAACAUCGGAAUGACUUGCGGGUACUUAACGAGCCGACUCGACUUUAGUCACCACCUGUAUAGCAUUUAUAUAUGUAAGUAUAUACCCGUGAUCACCUCUCGAGUGAUCACGGCCCGAUAGUAUAGCAUGGCAGAUGGACAAGAAUGUAGGGCCACUGAUGGUAAACUAGCAUCCUAUACUAAGCAUUUAGGAUUGCAGGUAAGGUAUCAACAGUUAUAGCAACAAUGAAAGGUUAUGGAUCGGAAUAGGAUUAACGGAAAGCAGUAACAAAUUACACUACUCUAAUGCAAGUAGUAGAGAGUAGAAUAGGCGAUAUCUGGUGAUCAAAGGGGGGGGCUUGCCUGGUUGCUCUGGCAAGAGAGAGGGGUCAUCAACACCGUAGUCGUACUGGGUAGCAGCGGCGUCGGUCUCGGUGUCUAGCGAGAGAAGAGGGGGAAGAAACAAUAAAUAUUAAGCAAACAGAUGCAUGACGAUGCAUGACAUGACAAAGCGUGAUGCUAGGUGUGCCCUAACGUGGUAUGAGGUGGUACCGGUGAAGGGGGGAAACAUCCGGGAAAAUAUCCCCGGUGUUUCGCGUUUUUGGACAGAUGAUCCAGAGGGGAAAAGUUGCGUGUUCAAUAGGUUAGGGAUGUGUGGUGGACGAACGGGCUGCGUAUCCGGAUUCGUCUUGUUUUUUUAUCGAUUUUCAUAUAUAAACUGACCUACGGUUUAUUCUAUAUGAACUUUCAAAGUUCAAAACGAUUUUUGGAAUUUCUAGAUUUAUAUUAAUUCGAACUAAAAACAUGAUAUAAUUUUGUCAUCUAGUGCUACUCCAACAUGUGUGUUUGACAGUGGGGCCAGUGGGGUUGGGUUGACCCAGUCAAAUUGACUGGUCAACAGGAGGUGUGACCCACAUGUAAGUGACACACAGAUGGGUCAAAUUAAAAUGAGUGGUCCACAUGUAAUACACUUAGACUAAUGAACCCCUAAAUUAUAGCCUAAACUAAUUAGACCUACCAAUUAGGUCGGCCACACGCAAUGGCACAGCCACACCUCGGCUGUGCUUGCCAUGGCCAGCACGCGAGGCACAAGGCCACGACGGCCAUGGCCAGCAACAGCAUCAGCAGCGCAAUAGGGAGCAAAUGUAGCAGCGCAGCGGAUAGUAGCGGUAACAGGCAGAGCAAAUAGCAGCGGCAGUAGCCAAGCAGCAACAUCGACAGUAGCAAGCAGCAGCCGGCGGCAAUGCACGGGCAGCGGCAGGUGACGACAAGGUCACCCAUGGGAGCGUGCGCAUGAGAGCCCAGGCAGCAGCGUGCCGAGCGCGGCCACCGCUCGACCUAGGUAAAGCAGGGCGCGGACGGUUCCAGGCACACAGAGAGCUUCGGGGGCGGGCAUGGCGAUCUCAAGCAUAGUAGCCGGAAACGGGGAACGGUAGGCCGUCCCUCGAUCCCGAUUCAUCGACCCGGAAUCGGAUUCAGGAACGAGGUCGGAUUCGGUACGAUUCGAUGAAGAUUCGGCGGCCCCGCAGCUUGCUCCUCGAUUCAGGUUCGAGGAUCCAACAGCCAAAACGCGAGGCAUAAUUUACUCACGCCGUCGUUUCUUUUCUCAAGGACUCCUCGUUCUUCCUCCAGUCCAUUAAUUGCAAGGGAUCCGUUAAUAGCAAGGAAUGCUGACCAUCAGGGAGUCGUCGUUCUUUAGGAACUGCGUUCCUCGACUCAUGGUACCGUACCAAGUUCAUCGUACCCAAACGGAUUGGAUCACGUCCCCGCUAUAAAAAAAUCGUUCGAGAGAUGUAUACCCUCGUUGUACCCUAUUUUUUUCAGCCACCGACUCUCGUCCCAAGUUCCCGUUCCUCGUUCCCACCGUACCGGAAACAUGGCAACUAUGAUCUCAUGACGAUGGCUACAACGACGGAUUGAAGGAGAAGAUGAGGGGGUUCGGCAGAGGAGCUCACCCCAGGGCUUGUGGACAUCUCUGUUGCCGCAGGGACGAACCGGAGCAGCGGCAACCAUCAACGAGAUGUCGCGGCCGUGGGCGAAGAUGACGGCGAUGCCGAGCCUAUGGGGUAUCCCGGCUCGGGUUCCUCGGUGGAGACAAAGGAGACGACCGCGAGGAGGAUCCUGAACAUCCUCCCGGGCGUCGGGGAAGAUAGUGGUCGCGGAAUCGACGACGUGCGCGGUGACGGCGGCGUCGGCUCUCCUCGGUCGAGUUCCCGAGCUAGAGGAUGAAUGAGAGGGGGUAGUGAGGUGCUAGGGUUCGUUUGUGGGGCGAUGGGGAUUGCUAAGUAGGCAUCCACGAGGGACGGAUGGCCGGCACGUGGCCAGGCACGGCCACGGCGCCAUGGAUGGCCGCCACACCUCUGUGCAAUGAACAGAGGAAGGGGAUAAGGAGGAGCUGGGCUGGGCCUCAACUGUAGUUCAAUUAGGCCUAGUAGCACAGUAGGCUUCAUGUCUUUUUCUUUUUCUGUUUUCUAUUUUAUUUUCUGUUUGCACUUUCUUUUAACAACAAAUCACUUUUGUAAAAUGUGUGGUGGCCUCAAUAGUUACUAUGCAAUAUACCUCACUCCCACAGAAAGUUUGGGAGAGAUUUGAAGUUGUUUGUAUUUUGAUUAAAGGAAAAUGACUUGAAUGGGGCUGUUUUGGGUACUGUUUUCAUAUCAAGGGGCA